CGGGCGGUAGCGCAGCCUGGUAGCGCGCGUCAAUGGGGUUGACGAGGCCGGAAGUUCGAAUCUUCUCCGCCCGACCA
rnacentral:tRNA from 1 species